UGAGGAAUAUUGCGCAAUGGGGGAAACCCUGACGCAGCAAUGCCGCGUGAGCGAUGAAGCCUUUUGGGGUGUAAAGCUCUGUCAAGAGGGAAGAUUAUGACGGUACCUCUAGAGGAAGUCACGGCUAAUUACGUGCCAGCAGCCGCGGUAAUACGUAAGUGGCAAGCGUUAUCCGAAUUUACUGGGCAUAAAGCGCACGCAGGCGGUUAAUUAAGUCAGUUGUGAAAGGCUACAGCUUAACUGUAGUUUGCUUCUGAUACUGAUUGACUAGAGAACAGGAGAGGAAAGUGGAACACACGGUGUAGCGGUGAAAUGCGUAGAUAUCGUGAGGAACACCAGUGGCGAAGGCGACUUUCUGGACUGAUUCUGACGCUGAGGUGCGAAAGCGUGGGGAGCGAAUGGG
rnacentral:rRNA from 1 species